rnacentral:rRNA from 1 species
CAGUAGCCACGGUAAUACGUAGGGUGCAAGCGUUAAUCGGAAUUACUGGGCGUAAAGCGUGCGCAGGCGGUUAUAUAAGUCGGAUGUGAAAUCCCCGGGCUCAACCUGGGAACUGCAUUUGAGACUGUAUGGCUAGAGUGUGUCAGAGGGGGGUAGAACUCCACGUGUAGCAGUGAAAUGCGUAGAUAUGUGGGGGAAUACCGAUGGCGAAGGCAGCCCCCUGGGAUAACACUGACGCUCCUGCACGAAAGCGUGGGGAGCAAACAGGAUUAGAUACCCGCGUAGUCCCUGUCUCUUAUAC